UGCCGGUACUUGAUGAAUAAGCCCCGGCUAAUUAUGUGCCAGCAGCUGCGGUAAGACAUAAGGGGCAAGUGUUAUCCGGAAUUAUUAGGCGUAAAGGGUGCGUAGGCGGUCUAAUAAGUCAGUGGUGUAAUGACAACGCUUAACGUUGUCCGGCUAUUGAAACUGCUAAACUUGAGUUAGAUAGAGGCGAGUGGAAUUCCAUGUGUAGCGGUAAAAUGCGUAAAUAUAUGGAGGAACACCAGAGGCGUAGGCGGCUCGCUGGGUCUUAACUGACGCUGAGGCACGAAAGCGUGGGGAGCAAACAGGAUUAGAUACCCUGGUAGUCCACGCCGUAAACGAUGAGUACUAAGUGUCGGGUUAAACCGGUACUGAAGUUAACACAUUAAGUACUCCGCCUGAGUAGUACGUACGCAAGUAUGAAACUUAAAGGAAUUGACGGGACUCCGCACAAGCGGUGGAUCAUGUUGUUUAAUUCGAAGAUACCCGAAAAACCUUACCAGGUCUUGACAUGUUUUUGCAAAAU
rnacentral:rRNA from 1 species